rnacentral:rRNA from 1 species
AUUGAACGCUGGCGGCAGGCCUAACACAUGCAAGUCGAGCGGAUGAUGGGAGCUUGCUCCUUGAUUCAGCGGCGGACGGGUGAGUAAUGCCUAGGAAUCUGCCUGGUAGUGGGGGACAACGUUUCGAAAGGAACGCUAAUACCGCAUACGUCCUACGGGAGAAAGCAGGGGACCUUCGGGCCUUGCGCUAUCAGAUGAGCCUAGGUCGGAUUAGCUAGUUGGUGAGGUAAUGGCUCACCAAGGCGACGAUCCGUAACUGGUCUGAGAGGAUGAUCAGUCACACUGGAACUGAGACACGGUCCAGACUCCUACGGGAGGCAGCAGUGGGGAAUAUUGGACAAUGGGCGAAAGCCUGAUCCAGCCAUGCCGCGUGUGUGAAGAAGGUCUUCGGAUUGUAAAGCACUUUAAGUUGGGAGGAAGGGCAGUAAGCUAAUACCUUGCUGUUUUGACGUUACCGACAGAAUAAGCACCGGCUAACUCUGUGCCAGCCGCCGCUGUAAUAC